GGUCACGUGACCAAGAGCUGCCUAGAGCAGAAGUCCUGCUAGUCGCCUCCAUCUGGGUACCAGCCCCUAUUACUCUGCAGGCGUGUGGAGGAAGAAGGAAACUAGUCCCGGACCGCGAGGUCGGUAGGAGCCUGGGCUCUGCUUAGAGGCGGCGGGGGUAGGAGAGGGCCAAGGGCGUCACGAAUUCAGGUUCGAGCUGAUCCGGGUUGUGUCCCCUUCUCAUCUACUUUCUAAAUGCCGGCGCCCCCCUCCCUCGUGCCCAUUUAGUAGAGAGAACUGGUGGACUUUGGGCGGGUGGUUAGAGGAGUGAAUGGCGGUUCCAGAGACUCCGAAGAAAGGUGCCACAAUUAGGGCACUCGUGUCCCGAGCGCUGCUCCGUCCACCAAACACUCCGUCCCCUGGGUUCCCUGUCUGUUUGCAGGUUUGUAGGUCUGUUGGCCCAUAGGACGCCUCAAAAGUCGUCCUGAGGGAAGGAGCAAACUGCCUUGGGACCCUGCAGGUCGGUCUGAGGGUGGGAUGAGCCCUGGACCCUGGGUGGGGGUUGGUGAUGGGGGUGGCGGAGGAGGAAGGGCUGGGAACUGCGCGGGCCUGGUCGAGUCGCCCUCUCCUGGCCCCUUCUUUCUCCACACCCCCUCCCAUCUCAGUGCAGGGAAAGGGGUGUGGCGGCCUUUGCUGGGGAAAUGGCGGAUGAUAUGGGGGGAAAGGGGGAAACCCCCGUUAGAAAAGUCAGAAGGGUAUGAAAAAUAUUUUAAAGUCAAAGGCUGAAAAUUCAGAAAAGCAGGUAUUAGGACCUGUGUUCUCAGUGCUGAUCCAUCCAACCACACUUUCAGUUUUUCAAAGCCGGCUCUCUGUCUUUCCAUCUGUCCUUCUGCCAGACUGUCCAUCAAUCUCUGUGGAAGGAGCACUGACAACCGAAGACAAGGGAAGAAGAAGGAAUUUACCUGACUUUGGUAGAGAUUCAUCACAAGAGAGCUACAGGAACCUGAGAGAGGCUGAAGAGGACUACACUCCACCAUUACUCACCCUGGCCUUAGCAUCCUCUUCAAUCAGGUGGAACAAGUCCCUCUCCCAUCCUACCCAA
rnacentral:lncRNA from 1 species